UAGGGAAUCUUCCGCAAUGGACGAAAGUCUGACGGAGCAACGCCGCGUGAUUGAAGAAGGAUUUCGGUUCGUAAAACUCUGUUGUUAGGGAAGAAAAAAUGUAUAGUAACUAUAUACAAAAGAGACGGUACCUAACCAGAAAGCCACGGCUAACUACGUGCCAGCAGCCGCGGUAAUACGUAGGUGGCAAGCGUUGUCCGGAAUUAUUGGGCGUAAAGCGCGCGCAGGUGGUUUAGAAAGUCUGAUGUGAAAGCCCACGGCUCAACCGUGGAGGGUCAUUGGAAACUAAGAAACUUGAGUGCAGGAGAGAAAAGUGGAAUUCCUAGUGUAGCGGUGAAAUGCGUAGAGAUUAGGAGGAACACCGGUGGCGAAAGCGGCUUUUUGGCCUGCAACUGACACUGAGGCGCGAAAGCGUGGGGAGCAAACAGG
rnacentral:rRNA from 1 species